ensembl:lncRNA
UGAGUUUAUUCUGUCAGUCAGAGCAGAAGAAUAGAGGGAGAGGAAGAGAUAGGGAGGUAAAGAAUGAGGGAAGGUUUACAGAGGACAGAUUAGAACUGUCAUAGACUUAUAUUGACAUUUUACAUGUACAUUUUAGUCAUUUAGCAGACGCUCUUAUCCAGAUUUAUACAUCCACAACAUAUCAGGUUCAGCCAUGGAGCACAUGUGGCUGAACUCGGUGAGUCAGUGUGUGGUAUCUGUGUCGGUGAUCGUGGUGAGUGUGAGGAUGUCUAUGGGUGGUGGUGGGAUGGAGGAGGAUGGAGGAGGCCAGGGUGGAGGUGGUCAUACCCGGAGCGGGAGUGUUUCUGCCUGCCUGAAGUUGUGUCUGGGCUGUGUGGGGGCAGUGGGGGGUGCGGUGGGGGUUCCUGUCUCUGUGCUGCUGAACCUGAGGAGUCCCCAGUGCCUGUACACCUGCAUCACCCUGGUGUGCUGUCCUCUGCUGGUCAGGCAAUUCACUGUCUGCCUGCUGCUGCUCAUGACCCUCAACUCCCACCUGAAGCACCGCAUGGGGAGCAGGUACAGUUUGCUGGUGACACGUCGGCGGGCCCUGUGUAUGGUCCUGCUGUGCUGGGUGGCCUCUGUCCUCUCCUCCUUUGCCCAGUUCAUCGGCUGGAACGUCCUGGACACCUGGGGAGGGGACGAGGGAUGGCUGGAUGGGCUGGGGCUGGACGGCAUCCCCCCAGGCAACUGGACCUCCCCUCCUCCCCGUCCGAUGCCUCCCAAGUACAACCAGGACCGCUCUGUGAUUGGGAAGUACCUCCCUUACGGCGGCUUCCUGUCCAAGUUCUACGUGGAGGAUCUCCAUAACUUCACCUAUGCAGAGAUCCAUGGGAGCCACUGGGGGGUGUGUGCCCCCGACACUGUCCUCAGCCCCCAGUUCCUGGUCUAUGUCUAUGGGGUGACCGUCUUCCUGCUCCCCCUAAUGUGCCUGCUGGCCAUUUACCUAGAUCUGGUCUGUGUGAUGCCCAGACAGGACCCUGAUGGUCCGGGCUCUGGCCCCCCAAAACGCCGCUCUCCCCGUGCCCGCUCCCUAGGCUUCUCCCUCUGCCUUCUUGUCCUCCUGUGUCUGCCCCUUCACAUCACCCACUCCCUCCUGCUUUUCUCCCCAGGCACACUGCCCCCGACCUGGGCUUUCCCGCUGGUCUCGCUCCUGUCGCAGCUCUAUGGUCUGGUGCCCCCUCUCCUCUUCACCAUUCCCACACAACGGGUGGGGGCCGAACAGGUACCCCUACCUCUGCCCCACCUGGCCCCCACAGGGGGUAAGACGGUGGGCGGAGCCCUGUGUUCAGCUGUGCAGGCAGCAUCCUGUUCACUCAAAGGGAGGCUGUGCCCAGAUGUGUGUGUGUAACAUGGAACGGGAUAACAGGGAAGGUGUGUGUGUUAACACGUUGUUACAACACCAGCAUUCCCAUCUCAUAUGUUCUAAUUCAAUCUCUUAGGCUCUGUUUACACACAUGUCUAAUAUGGUAAUACAUCGAAAUUGCUGAACAUCCAAUUUCCCUGGAGGUUUGCCCACAAACACAAGUUCCAAUCAUUGUGUGUAAACAGCGCCAUGUAUCAUUGUGUGAUUCACAAGGAGCUUCUUUGUGUAUGUUUCCCCAUAUAUAUUCAUCAACCUGUCAGUAGCACAUACUAGACGUUAAUUAGUUUUUCACACACUGUGCUGUUUAAUUAUUGAGUCCCAUAUCAAAUAAGGUCUUACAUCCAACCUUUUUAUGCUGUGUAAAGUACAUUUCGGAUAAAAAAGGUCAAGACAGGCCUGAUGGAAACAUCUAAUUUGUCAGUAGACGUUCCAAAUGUCAGCCAAACAAAAUACGCUAGACAAGCUGGGAUCUUUUUGUGUCGGUAAAAUUCAUAAUGUGAGAAAUAGCGAGGAAACGCCUUUACGCGCAAAUAUGCAUAUAAUAACUAUCAUACCGAAGUAAAAUUGGAGUCACACGAUGACAUGGUGUGUGGUCCUUACACUACGACUCGGGAAACCAUGUAGUUUAUUAGGCUACAGAUUUAGUAAAUGAUGAUCAACUUUACAGGGUGGUGAAAAUGCAAGUGAUGAACCUCAUGCUCCUUUACAAUAAAUAUCGAGGGUCUCCCUCUGCCAUUUAACAAAUUAAAAUGAUCUUGCUCUUUUAUCCAGAAUAUCAACCACACUGUAUCUGUCAGCUGUUGUCUUGAGCGCAAGUGCCAAACCAGAGUGGGCAUAUUUGCUAUAUAACGCAAACAUUUUUUGUGAGUAAACCAUCAGUAGAGUUGACAAUUAUAUUCUAUUUUUUAUUCAGUACAUGGGAUAUUAACUGCAAACGUUAUUUUUAUGUGUAUUACAUCAUCUUGCACAGUUUUUUUCAUCAGCAACGAGAACAUUUGUUGGAAACACUUCUCUGGUGGUAAAAUGCGCAUAUUGUUUUAAUGGGGACUUUCACACGAAAAUCUGUCGCCAAUUGGAUGGAAACCUAGUUACUGAGAGAGUAAAUAUCACGCAGCUGACUUCUAAUCUCACACUGAUCCAGAACUAAGCCUGGGACUAGAUCAGGAUAUGCCUGCAUUGUAACAUGCCUUCUGCUGCUGCUGCUGCUGGGUAUGCUGGGGAUGCUAUAGAUCUGGCUUUGAUCAUGUUUAAUUAAACACACAGUAAUAACAGCAUGGUUGGUCUGGCGACACCCUCAUAAUUAUAGCAGAGAAACGUUUUUCAUGGCUGUUUUGAUUAACUGUGUAAAUCUAACACUCUCCUUAAAUAAAAGGCCUUGCUCUAACUAA